rnacentral:lncRNA from 1 species
ACUCAAUCUUUUUCUUAUCCAUGUUAUAAGAUUUUUAUAUAAUUAAAUAUUUUACCUGUAUAUUUUACACAUGUGGUGCUGAACACCCCUAAUCUGAAAACUUGAAGUUCAAAAUGGUCCAAAUCCAAGAAUUUUUGAACACCAACAUGGUGACACUAUUGGAAAAUCCCCACCUGGCCUCAAAUAACAGGUCAUGGUCAAAAUCUCAGGCACAAUAAAAAUAUUAUACAAAAUUGCUUCCAAGAUAUGUGCAUGAGAUUUAUAUAAAACGUAAGUGAAUUUUGUUCUUAGACUUGAGUUUCAUCUCCAAUAUAUUUUAUAUAUUUGCAAAUACUUUAAAAAUCUGACAAAAAAAAAAAAGAAAUUUCAAACUCUCUGGUUCCCAGCAUUUCUAAUAAGGGAUAAUUCAAACGGUACCAUCAUUACCUCUGAGGAGUUACAUUUCCAAAUCUAUGAUAAAUGAUAUAUAGUUUGCUGUUUCUUAAGGAGCUAUUUGUACUUUAUACAUUCAUAUCAGCUGAGUUUGGCUGAUCUAAGAAGAAGCUGAAGAGAUGGGAGGGUAGAAGAAGACAGGGGUUAGAGUAUUUCUUCCCUCCUCUUUCUACUUUGGUGCCAGAUCUCUAGGAGUAGAAUCAUCUAGGCCUAUAGCUUUUGCCCUCCUCCAGUCACACCCUAACACUCUUGGCCUCCUAAGACUGUUGACCUCAGGAAUGUACAUGAUAGCAAAAUCACCACUUAAGUUGUCCUCCCUAACAAUUUAUGGCUGUAGUGGCUUCUGCUCAGAUAAGCUACUCUUGGCCAAAUUUAUUUGCAUUUGUUAGUUUUUAUGAUUUCUGGUUAUGACUGGCCCUAAAGUCUCAGCCUCUGAUUGGUAUGAGAAACAUCAAUUUUCAGUUUUCUUAGAUUUUUUUUUUUACCUUGUAGGAAAGAAAUGAUAACUUCCAAGCUGUUUACAUGUCAGAGCUGAAGAAACUGAAUUUUAAAUAUUAGGACUUCUUAAUUAACUUAAAUUUAAAUUUAGAUCCCCACCUGGGGCUAGUGUCUACAUAUUGGAUGCUGCUUUUCUGAAGUUAAUUAGGAUCUCUCUCCUCAUCUUGAACUAUGUUUUCUAGGGAACUCAGCUCAAAUCAUGUCUCUCCUUGCUAUAAUUGCUUUUUUAUAUCAUAAAUAGCCACUGUCCUCAACACUCAUCCUGAGAAAAAUUAGUCAUUGUUAUUAUUUCAUGCAGUAAAUAUUUAUUUACUUUAUAAAUAUAUUGAUUAGUCUCUAGCAUCCAACUAUUUCCUUCUGGGUUUUAUUUCUUUCUUCUUGAAGGAUUUCUUAUUAGUGGUUCUUUCAGAGAUAUCCAUAGAAAAGCUGUCUCAAAUUUUUUUAUGGAAAGUUGUGUCUCUCUUACAUUUAUACAAUGAAUUAUGUUUAAUUAUUUAUGAUAAUAAAUAUAUUUAAUAUAAUGUAGAUGGCAUAUUCAUCAGCCUUUCCGAUACCACCCCAAAACUUAGAGGCUUAAAAUACCAAUCUUCUUUUCCCUUUCUUUUCUUUUUCUUUUGGUGCUACUGGGAAUUAAACACAGGGGUUCUCAUCCAUUGAACUACAUCCUAGCCCUUUUUAUUUUGUUUUGAGACAGGGCUUCUCUAAGAUACCUAGGUUGGCCUUGAACUUGCAAUCCUCCUGCCUCAGCUACCUGAGUAGCUGGGAAUACAGGUGUGCACCAUCACGCUUAGUUACCUUAGUUUCCUUGUCUUGUUUCUGGCAUCUGCACUUUCCAUUUUUCCCUUGAAUUCAAUCUCUGUUAUAUCUUAUCCAUCUUAUUCAUAUCUUUAUGAAGAAAGCAUUCACAUGAGCAUAAUCUGACAAUGCAUAGAAAUUUUUCUAUUCUAAAAUCACAACAUGUGUUAUUUAG